AUUGAACGCUGGCGGCAGGCCUAACACAUGCAAGUCGAACGAGUGGCGGACGGGUGAGUAAUGUCUGGGAAACUUCCUCAUGUAGGUGGAUAACUACUUGAAACGGUAGCUAAUACCGCAUACACUCAGAUGUGCCCAGAUGGGAUUAGCUCGUUGUGGGGGUAACGGCCCACCUAGGCGACGAUCCCUAGCUGGUCUGAGAGGAUGACCAGCCACACUGGAAAGGAGGCACGGUCCAGACGCCGACGGGAGGCAGCGGUGGGGAAUAGUGGACAAUGGGCGCAAGCCUGAUCCAGCCAUGCCGCGUGUCUGAAGAAGGCCUUCGAGUUGUAAAGGACUUUUGUCAGGGAAGCGGUACCUGAAGAAUAAGCACCGGCUAACUACGUGCCAGCAGCCGCGGUAAUAC
rnacentral:rRNA from 1 species